GGAACUUGUUCGUCGAGCGGCAUCUGCGGCAGUGUGUCUUCGUCGAGUAGCUAUUGCAGAGGUUCAAAGAGAUCGAAGUUUUUGCAAUUAAAUUGAAGAUCAAACUUUUGACUACACAAAUUAUAUCCAAAGGUAUUUCAAAGUUGAGCUACCUGAGCUUAAGCAAAAUGGUGAGACCUAAGGAUAAAUUUCGGGAACAUGUAGAGCAACGUGGUUUGGGCCGUUUCACAUGUAACUAUUGUGGACUUAAUUAUUCCGGGAGUGUUUCACGAGUGAAGGCUCAUUUAGCUUGUCAACCUGGACAUGAUGUUCAAAUUUGCACCCAAGUUCCUGAGCACAUUCAAGCUGAUGCCCUGGCAGAAUUUAAUUUGAGUAGAUCUG